UUUUGCUAAUCCAAUUUUACGUAUUUCAAAAUUAAUAAUGUAAUUAGAAAAUAUUUGGAGAAUCAUGCACUUUCAGCUUAUGUGUAUUUUAAUGCCAAAAAUACCCUUCACCUUGCCAGCUAAGCGUUCCACAUCUGAAAAUUCAGAAGAGAAAAAACCCUCCGAAAAGCCACAAAGCCAAUAUCUCUCUCAUAUACUGCUUUUCCCAUUCUCUCCCAUUCUCAAUCUCAGAAACCCAAAAUGCUGUAAAACCUAACCUCUUUCAUUUCUGUAACAUUCUCGUCUCCCAUUUUGUUGAUAAACAUCAACAGCCCAAAACCUAACGUUCCCAAAAAAAAAAGUUAUAAUGCUGCGGAGGAGAAGAAUUUAUCAGGUGGAUGUGUUGGUAAAUGAGAAACGAAUCAGAAGGAAGAGACACGGGACUACGGGAGGAAACCGGGAAAGGUGAUAUCCUUUUUGUUCCCAAAUUACUUGAUCCAGAAACCCUAAUUUCUGAAACGAAGAUCAGAUCAGGGGAAAAUUGGUGAUCGGAAUCAAUGGUGGGUGCAUCGAGCUCAUGGUCUCGCGCACUGGUUCAGAUCUCACCUUACACCUUCUCCGCCAUUGUCGUGUCCGUCUUGGGUGUCGCUUGGGAAUUUAUAUAACUGGAAGUAGUUUAAUUGGUGUUGCCAUCAAAGCUCUUCGGAUUACUUCAAAAAAUCUGAUCAGGUGAGUACUUCAACUUUCUUUCUUUCUUUCUUUCUUUUUUUCUCGCUGGUUUUAUGGAUCAUUGAUGUGGUAUUACAUGGACUGGCUUAUUAAUGAGAGGUAACUGACAACUUCCAUGUGUAAAAAAAAUUGAAUUAUGCCACCACUUACUAGAUUGUCCGGGCAUAGGUUAUAUGGUCGUAGGAUAAGCUGAUACGCCUAUUUACCAUCAAUAUCAAUGAGUGUCAAUUCUGAAAUCUUACUGAACAUACAUUUGGACAAAUCAAUAUCAAUAUUUCGGCCAAUAUUUCAGUAUGGUUCAUGUUGAUAUUCUAUAAUUUGUUCCACAGUAUACUUUCUUAAUUUGUUCCUCUUUUGAAUGAUAUCUCAAGACAAGCAAAGCACUCACAUUGCAUAUGCUAUGUUGUUUUAACAAAUCAUUUACCCAAGC